GAUGAACGCUAGCUACAGGCUUAACACAUGCAAGUCGAGGGGAAACGACAUUGAAGCUUGCUUCGAUGGUCGUCGACCGGCGCACGGGUGAGUAACGCGUAUCCAACCUGCCUCUGACCAAGGGAUAACCCGUCGAAAGUCGGCCUAAUACCUUAUGCAGUCGUCGGAAGUCAUCUGAUGACGACGAAAGAUUUCAUCGGUGAGAGAUGGGGAUGCGUCUGAUUAGCUUGUUGGCGGGGUAACGGCCCACCAAGGCAACGAUCAGUAGGGGUUCUGAGAGGAAGGUCCCCCACAUUGGAACUGAGACACGGUCCAAACUCCUACGGGAGGCAACAGUGAGGAAUAUUGGUCAAUGGGCGAGAGCCUGAACCAGCCAAGUAGCGUGCAGGAUGACGGCCCUAUGGGUUGUAAACUGCUUUUAUGCGGGGAUAAAGUGAGGGACGUGUCCUUCAUUGCAGGUACCGCAUGAAUAAGGACCGGCUAAUUCCGUG
rnacentral:rRNA from 1 species